UUCUUCUACCUGAAAUCAGAAUCAAUCAAGACACAUACACACACACACACACGCAAGCCAGACAGGAAAAAAGAAUAUUACCUUUAGCAAUCAUAAGGCUAUUUGGAGAAAAAGGAGUAGGGGUGCAGCCGAACAGACUUGCUAAUAUGCACUUCUGUCCAGUUAGAAAGACUUAGCCAUACUGUCCUUGCCAUAGGUGGACAAGCACACGCCUCCCCAGUAGGGGAUGAGCCUGCCCCACUAAAGUUACUGCAGGGCUGUAAGAGCAGACCAGAACACAGAACACGUGUGCUCUGCAGGCCGAGAGAACCUAUAAGGUCUGGAGAGAGCAGGGGCUACUCUCAGUGUGCUCUGUUCUGCCUUGCCAACUCCGCAUUCUGUCUUUCAUCUGCUCUCACCAUUGGAAAACAUGAAAUAAGCUCCAGGAGCACAGAGGCGAAGUAUGACCUGGUCAUUGUUUCACCCCUGUGCCUCACAGGGUACCUGACACACAAUAGGUGCCAAUGUUUGUUAAAUGAAUGAAUGAACAGAUGUGGAUGUCAAGACUAGAAUAAUCCUCACAUAUCAUUCAGGAAUCACCUAUGCCCAGGCCUCAAUCCCAGACCAAUUUUUAUCAACAUUUCUGAGGAUGAGGUUCAGCAUUCAGGAUUUCUCCAAGCUCUCCCCAGGUGAUUUCAAUGUGCGGCUAAGGUGACGAACUAUUAUCGCAGGGCCCUGGUCCAACCCCUCAUUUUACAGCAAAGUUAUUUGUAGAGGGUGUAACGUCAGAGGGCUUGUCCUGGCCCUGCUGCUGACUGUGUGUGUGGGGCUGGGACUUGCCUAUUUCUCUGUCUGGCCCUCAUUGCUCUCAGGUGGGAAGUGAGGGGGUGGGGACAGAUGAUCUCUAGAGCCCUGUCCAGCUCUAAUGGUGUAUUACUCUCUAUUCUGAUCCCAGAUGUGAACUUAACUCACUAGGACAUCGAUUGUGCCUCAAGAUGCCUUUGCACGGUGGUUAGGUUAGUUUUGCGCUUGAGAUGACAGAGUUCUGGAUUGCAGUGGACAGCAAAGUAGAGAUGUUUGGAAGAGUUCAGGACCUACAGACUCAGUCUUUGGUGGUUAAUUCGUCCUGUUUUUUCCUUAGGUGGUGGCAGCAAGUUGACCAGUGGAACAGCAAAGGAACAACAGAGGAGCCCAGCUGAGGAAGCUGCAGUGAGCUAGGGCUGCCCUCUUUGCUCCUGCUCCUCCUCUUCUAGCUCUUGUCUUCCCCUACCCACCCACCUCCCAGUCAUCUCUUUCUCUUUCCUUUCCUGCCCUCUCCAUGUAUCUGCAUCAAUCACAAGUCUUUCAAAGGCAAACCUAUUAUUUCUUCCUACCCAUGGAAUCCACCCACCUCCCUCCCAUUCUAGUUUGGCACCCCAGAGCUUCUAAGUGUGUUGUCACAAUGUGAGCAAUCAGAAGUGGCUCCUGAAAUGAAAAAGGGGGGAAGCCAGGUGCAGUGGCUCAUGCCUAUAAUCCCAGCACUUUGGGAGACCAAGGCAGGUGGAUCAUCUGAGGUCAGGAGUUCAAGACCAGCUUGGCCAACAUGGUGAAGCCCUGUCUCUACUAAAAAUAUAAAAAUUAGCUGGGCGUGGUGGUGCAGGCCUGUAAUCCCAGCUGUUGGGGAGGCUGAGGGAAGAGAACGGCUUGAACCUGGGAGGCAGAGGUUGCAGUGAGCUGAGAUUGUGCCACUGCACUCCAGUCUGGGCGACAGAAUGAGACUGUGUUACAACACUUUGGGAGGCCAAGGCGGACGGAUCAGGAGGUCAGUUCGAGACCAGCCUGACCAACAUGGUGAAACCCUGUCUCUACUAAAAAUCCAAAAAUUAGCCAGGCGUGGUGGUGCACGCCUGUAAUCCUAGCUACUCAGGAGGCUGGGGCAGGAGAAUCACUUGAACCUGGGAGGCAGAGGUUGCAGUGAGCCGAUCGCGCCAUGCACUCCAACCUAGGUUACAGAGCAAGACUCCGUCGAAAGAAGAAAGAAGAAAGGAAGGAAGGAAGGAAAGAAGGAAGGAAGGAAGGAAGGAAAAGAAGGGGAAAUAAAAAGGGAAGAAAUAAGGCUGUAGGUGAUUCUCUUCCUCUCCAAAAUUGCAUGGAGUCUUGUGGGUGCUGGGCCACGUAUCCAUCUUUAAAAGUGGCUAUUUCCUCAGCCUUCUUCAAACAGGGUAACUGGAUAAGAGCUAGAUAUGAGGAUGAGUAGAAUUUGGGGGCUAGAAGCAGAGCUGAGGCCUAGAACAAAGAGGUAACAUGUAGGAGUCUCACAGCCAGAGGACUCCUCCUGGCCCCAGUACCCACUAAGCACUUGACUUAGAAACGAUCGUGUAUAGCCACCUUGUUUUGCAGAUUGGAAAACCGAGGUCUAGAGAUGCCAAUGACUUGUCCAAGGUCAUGUAGUUUGCUAGCCAAAGACUAGGACUACAGCCCAGAACUCCUGACUGCCUUUUCCAGGAAUACUUCUGCUCCCUCAGCCUUCCUCAAAGUGACUGUCAGUUUAAUUUUAUAAGAUGGUGGGGCUUGUGGUAAGGACUCUGAAGAGAAAAUGUCAAAAGAAUAGACCAAAUGAUGGAAACAGGAGAUUAUCAAGCCUCAGCAUUCUCUCCGACUUUCCCUAGCCCUUUUGCCACCUCCAUAGCCUGCCUGUCUUCCUACUCCCUGGAACGUAAGGCUGCCCUGGGGACAGCCUCCCAGGGUUGGCUCUGGAGCUCCUGCUCGUCCUCCUCUGUAGCCACUUCUCUGGGGCAUCUGUCCGCACACGUCUUCAGCUCCCAUGACACACAGACAUGCCCGCAUCUCGAGCUCUAGCCCUCGACUUCACCUUCACAUUUGUCUUUCUAUAGGAUAUUUCCAUAUGUAAAUAUGCCUCGCUCAGCCAGAAAUCAAAAUUGGAAUUCAUCUUCCCUAUGCAAAGCUACAGCCUUUUCCUACCCCCUGUUUCUUUCAGUGCUUCCAUAGUCCACCAAUCCUCCCGACUCAAAACUUCCAUGUCACCAGAGGCUGGGGGAGAAGGAAAUGGGGUUGGGGGGUGGUUAGUGUUUAAUGGGUAUACAGUGCCAGUUUGGGAUGAUGACAAAGUUCUUGAGAAGGAUGGUGGUGAUGGUUACACAACAAUGUGACCAUAAUUAAUGGCAUUGGACUGUACAUUUGUAAUGGGUGAAAAUGGUAAAUUCUAUGUUAUGUCUAUUUCACCACAAUUAAAAAAAACAAAAACAAAAACCCAAACCCAAAACUCAUGUCAUCCUUGACUUGUGGCUACCUUGCUGUCUUCUCCCCAGCUUACUUUGCCACCAAGUAAUUCUGAUUUUUCACCUAGUGGAGAUUCCUCAAACUUUCCCAUACUCCAGCACCAAGAGGGAUUUGUUAAGAGUUAUCAAUUCCCCAGUCCUACUCGGCUCUUUGGUGUAGGGGUGGAGCAUGGAAUCCACAUUUUAAACUUCCCAACAAACCUGAUGUGGGUGGACUGCAGACUGCACUUGGAGAAAUAAAUACUGCCUCUCAGUGUCUUUUGGCUUUGUCCCUUCCUCUUCCUUCUACUACCCCUAUCCCUGCCCCAGCUGGCCCUCAUCACCUCACACCUGGAUUACAGCAACAGCUGGCCCAUCACUAGCCUUUCCCUAUUCCAGCCUCUCCAGCUGCCAGGACCCAUCUUCUACAAAUAUCUUUUGCAUCACAUCACUUCCCUGCUCAGAAGCCUACCAUGGCUCCCUGAGACCUCUUAGAUUCUAUCUAAAGUCACUUGGCUGGGAGCCAGCCAAGUGAGCCUCCCACCCUCCCGCUUACCUUCUUCUCUGUUCACUGCCACCCCUCCCGUGCUCAUUAGUCAUUUAUUUUCCUUGUGUUAGUCCCUCUGCUAGUUUGGGGUGGUCUUUCUUCUAUUUCCCCCUUCCCACCAUGAGCCCUGGAACACUUCUGGUUACGUUGGAGGAAUUAUGAAAACUGUUCAGAUUCUCUAUCCUGCUUCUCAGUGCAUUAAUCUUGCCUCCCCCCAAUGUGGGCUUUGCCAUUCACCAGCUGUAUGACUUUGGGCAAGUUGCUUAACCUCUCUGUGCCGUAGUGUUUUCAUGUUCUCAUGUGUAGAAUGGUGAUCUCAAUAGGGCAUACCUCAUAUGUCUGUGGACAGGAUUAAGAGUCAACAGAUGUAAAAAGUCUUAUGACGGUUUCUAGCGUAAAGUAAGUGCCAUGUAAGUGUUAGCUAUUAUUAGUAAUUAGUAUGAUCACCUCCUCUUUCAGCCAGCUCAUCUCUGGAAACCAUGUCUGCUUGGAAUACCUAACUGAUCGAGUUCUCUGUUAAACCUUGCCUGAUCUUGUGGAGGCGGUUAAGUAUUAAGUGUUUGGGUUUCAACAAGCUCCUGUACAUGAGAUAACCUGAGGAACUGGGCCGUCUACAAAGCUGUAAUUAUGUCCAUUAAUUUCUAACCAACUAGGAGGAGAGGUGCUGAGAGUUGAAAGCAAGAUUUUCCAGCAUAAAUAGGAUUGAUGAUGUGGAUGAUGUGAGGGCAACUUUGCAAUAAUUUUAUCAUUUUUUUUUUUAAGACGGAGUUUCGCUCUUGUUGCC
rnacentral:lncRNA from 10 species